rnacentral:tRNA from 1 species
GUGGGUGUAGCUCAGUGGUAGAGCAUGUGCUUAGCAUGCACAAGGUCCUGGGUUCAAUCCCCAGUACCUCUA